CCCCUUCCAUCCCGCCGGCAAAAGGCCUAUAUGAGUCCGUGCCGGGGCAACCCGGCUAUGGGGAUAAACGCUGUACGGAAUAGGCGUAGUGGACCCGGGGGCGGUACCCGGCGCCUCCACCAUCACCCCUCCCCGCCAGGGGAUGGGUCCAUGGGGGCGAAACAGGAUCGACACGCGUAGUAAAGGUACGGUCUUCUCCCGGCAUGGUACCGCCGUUAUCGGGCCAUACUCACAGAUGCCAACGAUAACGUUGCGUCUGAUCUGCGCGUGGCCGCCUAAUUACCCCCUUCAGGGUAGUUAGCGGUUAACGCAGAACACGGCCCGGGGGAGCCGGGUAACAGAAUCCCCCCACU
rnacentral:tmRNA from 1 species